rnacentral:sRNA from 1 species
GUCAAUAACCCCACGCCUGAAGGCGGGGGCUUGUUUGAAAAUUAGAUCAAGCUCUUGUUGACUAGCCUAAGUGCUUCGAGCACUACGUUACUUGCGAAUAAUUAAACUGUCAGGUG